rnacentral:misc_RNA from 1 species
GAUGAAGAACGUAGCGAAAUGCGAUAAGUAAUGUGAAUUGCAGAAUUCAGUGAAUCAUCGAAUCUUUGAACGCACAUUGCGCCCCCUGGUAUUCCGGGGGGCAUGCCUGUUCGAGCGUCAUUUCAACCCUCAAGCUCUGCUUGGUAUUGAGUCCAUGUCAGCAAUGGCAGGCUCCAAAAUCAGUGGCGGCGCCGCUGGGUCCUGAACGUAGUAAUAUCUCUCGUUACAGGUGCUCGGCGUGCUUCUGCCAAAACUCCAAUUUUUCUAUGGUUGACCUCGGAUCAGGUAGGGAUACCCGCUGAACUUAAGCAUAUCAAUAAGCGGAGGA